AUGAGAGAGAGGGAGAGAGAGAGAAAGAAAGAGUUUGCACGGACGUACAUCUGAUCAGAAGUUUUACUGAGCGACGAAUGCACAUGAAUUCAUACUCCACGUGCCGCGUCGUAACUCAGUUUCACAGUAUUUAUGUUCGCGCGGUGCUUUUGAUCUUGUUUCGACGAGCUUCACGUCACAGCAAGUUGUUUAGUUUGUCCACGCAGAAGAGGAUGAUGUUUCAGCAAAAACAGUUGACAGUCUCCUUUGCCCCACCUGUAGUGGGAGACACAGUCAGUGACCCGACAAGGCUGGGUAUCGGGCGGGCGAAUGAGACGGGAACAUUUAGACUCCUGCGUCUUGCGCUCGUCACCGCCGACACAAGAAACCUCACGAUGCUGCAGUCCAUUUCCACACGAUGAUGAACACUAUGGAGAACGACACAGACGCAGUUUGGUAAACUUGAUGAGACUAGGUGGGUUUUUCACUGAAUGAAUGCCAUCCAAAUGCAGGCAAACUUGGCAAAUUUGCCACAACAAAUGAAAAUUUCCGUUUCACUAUAUCACCAAGUCUGCUUGUGGUUAACACAGAAGAUGAAGUCUGAAAUUUAGCCAAAUGAAAAUCAAAUGAAACUGGUAUUUACAUCAGAUGGAACUGAGCUCUGUUCAUUUACAUGAGUUUAAAUAUUGGUCAUAGUGUGUAGAUCAUGCUGGGUCAUUUGUUCAUGUGUAUUUGGUUGUUGAUUGGAAAGGCUCUUGAAAUAACAGGCAGAGAUGAUCUGUGUAUGGGAGUGAUUUUUAUAGAAAGAGAGAUUUUGAGUGCUACUGUGUAUCCCAUUGGGAUAUAUAUUAAAACAGUGAGCGGACUCCGACAUCUUACACUCUGAAUGUGUUUGUGUUUGAAGAAACGGAACAACAUGCAUUUUAAAUUCCUUAUUAAAUAUAUUAUUUUUGGUGGGGCAGUAUUCAUAUUAAUAAGCACAUGAGUAAGUAUGCAUAAAUGAGUGAGUAAAGUGAAGAAUAAAUGAGGGCUUUCUGACUCGGUGAAAUUAGGAUAUGCUCUGCUAUACAAAUACAAUUUUCUGCAUAUCAACUUUCCUUCUCUUCACUUAGUUAUGAUGCAGUCUGCUCAUGUAAAUCUCUAAAUAUAUGCUGCUGAUGAUCUAGAAUCAAAAGUUUGGUUUCAUUUUUUUUUUUUCUGGAAAUGAGCUUUUAUCCAACAAGAAUGCAUUAUACUGAUCAGAAGUCUCAGGUUAGACUUUUACAUUCUUAUAUUUUUAUAUAUUUUAAAUAUUUCUAUUUCAUAAAAAUAUAUACAUAUUAAAGAAUCCUAAAAAAAGAGAUGUAUGAAGGUUUAAACAAAAAUAUUAAGCAGCACAACUGUCUUCAGCAUUAAUAUAUUUAUCUUAAGAUUAAUAUAUGAAUUAAAAGCAUUCAUUUUACUCAUCUUUACUCAUCAUAUUUAUAGAUGUAUUCUGACUUCGCAGUUGCGAGUUAUAAAGUCCAGUUACAAGGGGGAAUUUUUUUUUUUCUCAGAAUUGCAAAUUCUUAACUUAAUAAUUCACAUUUUCUUUAUACAGUCAGAAUUGCGAGUUAUAUUAUAUAUAAACUUGCAAUUCUGAUUUUCUCACUUCUGACUUUUUUUUCACAAUUUUGAGUUUGACAUGAAAUUCUUAGGAAAAAAAAAGUCAGAAGUGCGAGUUAUAUAACUCAAUUAUUUAUUUCUCAGAAUCGUAAGUCUUUAUUUGAGUUUUUUUCUUGCAAUUUCAAGUGUAUAUCUCACAAUUCUGAUAAAUAAAGUCAAGUGUGAGUUUGUAUCACAAUUCUGAGAAAAAAAGUCAGAAGUGUGAGUUUGUAUGAGGCAACUCUGACUUUAUUUCUUAGAAAUGUGACUAUUUCUCAGAAUUGUGAUGCUACUUUGCAAUUUUGAGUUUAUAUCUUAGAAUUCUAAUAAAAAAGAGUCAGAAGUGUGAGUUUGUAUAACACAAUGACUUUAAUUCUCAGAAAUAUGAUUUUGUCUCAGAACUGUGAAUUUAUUUCACAAUUUUUAAGUUUUUUUCUCUAAAUUUCAAGUUAAUAUCUCACAAUUCUGAGAAAAGUCAGAAGUGCGAGUUUUUAUAAUGCAGCUCUGACUUUAUUUCUUAGAAUUGUGACUUUAUUUUGCAAUUUUGAGCUUUUUCUCACAAUUUUGAGUUUAUAUCUCACAAUUCUGAUUAAAAAAAGUCAGAAGUGUGUUCGUAUCACGCAAUUUUGAAAAAAAAAAGUCAGAAUUGCAAGUUUAUUUAUAUUAUAUAUAAACUUGCAAUUCUGACUUUCUUACAUCUGACUGUUUUCCCACAAUUUUAAGUUUAUUUCACACAAUUCUGAAAAAAAAAAUUCGGAAUUGUCAGAUAAAUAACGCAAUUUUGACUACUUCUCAGAAUUGUGACUUCGGAAUUCUGAGCUUUUUCUCGCAAUUUGAAGUUUGUAUCAAUUCUGAGAAAAAAGUCAGAAUUGUGAGAUAAAUAAUUGCAACAACCUUUUUUUUAUUUUUUAUUCAGUGGCAGAAACAAGCUUCCAUAAAUAGCAGAAUAUACAAACACUUUGAG